rnacentral:rRNA from 1 species
UACGAAGGGGGCUAGCGUUGCUCGGAAUCACUGGGCGUAAAGGGCGCGUAGGCGGCGUUUUAAGUCGGGGGUGAAAGCCUGUGGCUCAACCACAGAAUGGCCUUCGAUACUGGGACGCUUGAGUAUGGUAGAGGUUGGUGGAACUGCGAGUGUAGAGGUGAAAUUCGUAGAUAUUCGCAAGAACACCGGUGGCGAAGGCGGCCGACUGGACCAUUACUGACGCUGAGGCGCGAAAGCGUGGGGAGCAAACAGG